rnacentral:misc_RNA from 1 species
ACUUGGUCUGUCAUGCAAUAAAUCCUGUCCCUCAUUUCAGUUAACAUUUGUCUUCCUAGGACCAAGAACUCUUGUGUCUAAAACAAUUCAAAAUGAAAUCAAUAACACUAUUGGAAAGGAGAAAGUAAAGCCAAGAAAAAGAUUAUGUAUAUUGAGAAACAACAGAAAAGUUGGAGCAAAACCAAAUCACUACCCAGAAACUCGCUCAUACCCCAAAGAGAGAGAGAGUUACGUUAAUUCAAUUUAAAAAAUAUACAUAUGUGUAUUGCAAGAAAAACCAUUGAAUGUGAGCAAAUUUUUACCAAAUAGAUGAGACAACUGCUAUAUGAAUAAUAGCUGAUAACCAUUCUUAAACAAAGCAUAAGAUUUUAGAAAGGUCAUCAACCAAAUAGAAUAUAUACAGAAAAUGAAGGGUCCUAUUUAGAGAGAAUUUCAAAUAGAAUACUAUAUUACUUCUUAAUACAUCCUAUCCUGAUUCCUGAGCAAAUUUCAUGUAAAGAACUGCAAUGAUUCUUAAUACAUAAAAAAAAAACACUUUAUUCUUGGUCAUAACUUUAUUCUUGGUCAUAACAUUGAAAGAACAGUCAUCAUAGACAUGCUACGUUGUUGAUAGAGCAUCAUCUUCUUCUCAAAAAUACUCGUAGUAAGGAAGCAUAUCCAUUCCCAAAUCCCAACAAAGCAACAACCCAAAGAAAGUUUUGACAUUUAGUUAACUGGACAGUAGAGUAGCGAAACGCAUGUUUCUUUCAUGAUUAGAAUAUGCAAAACAGAAAUUUUUUACACAAGAAGCCAAUAAAUUCUUUAUCAAUCCAUCCUCAAUUCCCAUAAUCCUAGGACCAGGAGAGCAAAUAAAUCUUAUCUUGUAGCUCCAAGAGCCAUAUUUUUUUUCUACAGGUAAUCUUAAAAAAGGUUUGCAUGCACAUGCAAAGCCUUUAAUAUUUUCCUGAUAUUUCAAAAUGAACAACAUAAUAAUAUGGUAAAUAGUAAAUUAGCAAAUAGCAAACUAGUUUGACAGGAAAUCUCUGAAUCAAAGACUAGGCUUGCAAUAGAUAGCUCCAAAGUGCAGACUGAAACGUCAAACUCUUCCAGAAUCCUUUGCUUAAAAUGAAUACAACAACGUGCCUCAGACCUAUUUUUUUAGACCCUGCAAACUUCUAAAAGAAGUAUAGCCAUACAAAGAAAACAAAACAAUUUCCAAAUUACAAACCCAUGAGUAAGUAACAUGCAUUCUUUAACCUUUGCUUAUAAACUCCGGGUAAACAUCCAAAAUUCUGGCACACUAUGACACCAUUGUAUCAUACAAGCCAAUUCAAUGAAUGACCCUAAAGGUUCCUGCAUACUAUUUAUAUCCAAAAACAUGAAUCAUGUUUUCAAAGCUUCAAAGAAAAUUUGUAUUCCCAUCUGAAAAAGAAGAAAAGCACAAUAGGAGGCUACAUAAUAUUCUAAUUUAAUGUAGCCCUAAGAUACUAGGAAUUUUACUAUGGAAUCCACAUAGGAGAAAAUGAAUAUCUGUUGAUUGGUAAACCAUUACAAACCACUCAAAAUUGAGAAAAUAAACAAAAAAUAAAGGAUUUAGAUUACUCCAAAAAAUUUAAAAUAAGAAACAAAAUCCAAAACUAGCUAUGUAUUAGAUUUAGCACUACACAAAAUAAAUAAAUAAAAUCCCAUACUUUUAUCCUACUUCUCUGACAAUUAUUGAUAGAACACAACCAUAAUUACAUAAGCAUCAUAAUCUUAACUACGGUAGCUAAAAAUAAUAGAAAUCAAGAUAAUUUAUUUCUAAGACAACAGAAUAGAAAUGUAUACCUUUAACCAGUGUCGUAUGUUGUGGUAAACCUCAAUGCAAAGAACAACCUCUGGAUGGCGUACAUGUAUGUGUUCUUGAACAUUUGAGG